CUCAGCCGCCGCACCCGAAACACGCCCAGAGCGCCCUCUGGAUCUGGCUGACGCACGAAGUGGCUCAAAGCAAAGAGCGCGAAGGAGCGCCCUCCGGAUCUGGCUGACGCACGAAGUGGCUCAAAGCAAAGAUUGCGAAGAGCGCGAAGGAUUUGCAGAUACUCCGUAAAAUCACUUUAUGGAGUCUCUGCCAAUUCUUCGUGUUCUUAACGUCUUCGCAGUUUAUUGCGUAUCUUCAAUGAUUGACAUCGGUUUGGUACUUCGUAUGUGAAGCUUUUUUGACAUCUGUUUUAUGAAUUUUUGUGUUUUUGUGGUCUAGGUUUGGUCCAUGGAGAAUGAGUCAAGAUAAGGCCGAAAGAUUUUUCCUCGCAAUGGUGUCUGCGCAAGUCCUAAUUUUUUUUUGGUCUCGUCGUUUCAGUAAUCGACCGAUCCCACCAGAAGGUUGGACGCCGACCCGCAUUGGAUCCCUAUAUACAAAAGCAGCUGGCUAGAAAACGGGGGGACGAACAGAGCCUGCCUAGCAAAAAAAGCCGCCGCCGCCCCCAGCCCUCAGCCCUCCCCCCUCCUCCUUCCUCGUGCCGCCCGCAGCAGCCGCUCCCGUGAUGGCGAAGAAGCGAAGCUCCAACAAAGGAGGGCGACGGGGCAAGAGAGGUGGUGCCCCGCCAAUGCUGGUGCGCCGCGUCGUUUUGUGUUCAACGAGCAAAAGAAGUUUAACGUUCCUCCAAGCUGCAGGAGUGAUGACCCUGAGGUAAACAGAUUGAACGACAACUUGGCUGUCUACUACGGGGCCAUGGCAACCUGCAGGGAGAACGUGCACGCUCUGCUGGUGGAAGAGCUCCAGGACAGUAACGUGGGUCUGAAGCAAGCUGAGGCAAGGUAUGAGGGAAUGAAGGUGACCGCGCGCAGGAUGGCACAAAUUACAAAUAGGCUGGGCAAGCCGAUGCCUUUCCCUUCCCACUUUAAGCAUGCCGUGAAGCUGUAGAUUAGUUGGAAGUAUGAAUGAGGUGAGAACGGUACGAGAAUUCUGUUCUGUGGACUGUUAAAUUGGGAGUAGACUGUUAACUUGGGAGUAUGGAUGACCGGAGAGGAAUUCUGUUCUGUAGACUGGUUGCAUUUGAACUUUCAGCAUUUCUAGAGAACCAAUAUGAUUGGAUUUUGUGAUAUAAAAUUCGGCAA